UACGUAGGGUGCAAGCGUUGUCCGGAAUUAUUGGGCGUAAAGAGCUCGUAGGCGGUCUGUCGCGUCGGCUGUGAAACCGGGCCGGUCAACCCCGGGCCUGCAGUCGAUACGGGCAGACUAGAGUGCGGUAGGGGAGACUGGAAUUCCUGGUGUAGCGGUGAAAUGCGCAGAUAUCAGGAGGAACACCGGUGGCGAAGGCGGGUCUCUGGGCCGUAACUGACGCUGAGGAGCGAAAGCGUGGGGAGCGAACAGG
rnacentral:rRNA from 1 species